CCUACAUUUCCAGCCCUCUUCAUUGUAGACUUCGAAAGGGAGUCUGCAGGUAUGGACAAUGUCGGCGGCCAUAUAACCGGGUUGGAUCAUGUGGCGAUUUAAGGAGUUCUUGCUGUGUAAGGGCCAUUUGGGCCUGAUGAUUCCCUGGCUUCUCCUGGAAAAUCCUUCCUGCAUCUACCAAAUGGCCUCGCCAGCACUCCAGCUCCAUCACACCUGCAGGCACCACAUCCUCCUGCAAAAAA